rnacentral:rRNA from 1 species
AGAGUUUGAUCAUGGCUCAGAACGAACGCUGGCGGCAUGCCUAACACAUGCAAGUCGAACGCUCCCGGGGCUUCGGUCCCGGGGGAGUGGCGCACGGGUGAGUAGCGCGUGGGAACCUGCCCUGUUGUGGGGGAUAACCGAGGGAAACUUCGGCUAAUACCGCAUGCGCCCGAAGGUAACUUCGGGGAAAGAUUUAUCGCAGCAGGAGGGGCCCGCGUCGGAUUAGCUAGUUGGUGGGGUAACGGCCCACCAAGGCGAUGAUCCGUAGCUGGUCUGAGAGGAUGAUCAGCCACACUGGGACUGAGACACGGCCCAGACUCCUACGGGAGGCAGCAGUGGGGAAUAUUGGACAAUGGGCGCAAGCCUGAUCCAGCAAUGCCGCGUGAGUGAUGAAGGCCUUCGGGUUGUAAAGCUCUUUCGCCCGCGACGAUGAUGACGGUAGCGGGAGAAGAAGCCCCGGCUAACUUCGUGCCAGCAGCCGCGGUAAUACGAAGGGGGCGAGCGUUGUUCGGAUUUACUGGGCGUAAAGGGCGCGUAGGCGGCGUAUCAAGUCAGGCGUGAAAGCCCCGGGCUCAACCUGGGAAUGGCGCUUGGGACUGGUAUGCUUGAGUUCGGGAGAGGAGAGUGGAAUUCCCAGUGUAGAGGUGAAAUUCGUAGAUAUUGGGAAGAACACCGGUGGCGAAGGCGGCUCUCUGGACCGAGUCUGACGCUGAGGCGCGAAAGCGUGGGGAGCAAACAGGAUUAGAUACCCUAGUAGUCC